GACAGAGGUGGCAAGCGUUGUUCGGAAUCACUGGGCUUAAAGGGCGCGUAGGUGGUUGUGCAAGUCUGGGGUGGAAGCCUAUGGCUUAACCGUAGAAUUGCCUUGGAAACUGCAUGACUUGAGUCAGUAAGGGGAGGGUAGAAUUCCUGGUGUAGCGGUGAAAUGCGUAGAUAUCAGGAGGAAGGCCUGUGGCGAAGGCGGCCCUCUGGUGCUGGACUGACACUGAGGCGCGAAAGCGUGGGUAGCAAACAGG
rnacentral:rRNA from 1 species